rnacentral:rRNA from 1 species
UACGUAGGGUGCGAGCGUUGUCCGGAAUUAUUGGGCGUAAAGAGCUCGUAGGCGGUUUGUCACGUCUGCUGUGUAAUCCCGAGGCUCAACCUCGGGCCUGCAGUGGGUACGGGCAGACUGGAGUGCGGUAGGGGAGAAUGGAAUUCCUGGUGUAGCGGUGGAAUGCGCAGAUAUCAGGAGGAACACCGAUGGCGAAGGCAGUUCUCUGGGCCGUAACUGACGCUGAGGAGCGAAAGCGUGGGGAGCGAACAGG